GUCUCAGGCCGUAUCAGCCUGAAGGCGCUCGAUCUCGUCUGAUCUCGGAAGCUAAGCAGGGUCGGGCCUGGUUAGUAUCUUUGGAUGGGAGACCACCUGGGAAUCCCGGGUGCUCGAUGCU
rnacentral:rRNA from 1 species